AUACGUAGGUGACAAGCGUUAUCCGGAUUUACUGGGCGUAAAGGGCGUGUAGGCGGUCUUGCAAGUCAGAAGUGAAAUUCCUGAGCUCAACUCGGGCGCUGCUUCUGAAACUGCAGGACUUGAGUGCUGGAGGGGAUAGCGGAAUUCCUAGUGGAGCGGUAAAAUGCGCAGAUAGUAGGAAGAACACCGGGGGCGAAGGCGGUUAUCUGGACAGUAACUGACGCUGAGGCGAGAUAGCGGGGGGAACAAACAGGAUGAGAUACCCUGGUAGGCCACGCCGUAAACGAUGAAUACUAGGUGUAGGGGGUAUCGACUCCCUCUGUGCCGCAGUUAACACAAUAAGUAUUCCGCCUGGGGAGUACGGCCGCAAGGUUGAAACUCAAAUGAAUUGACGGGG
rnacentral:rRNA from 1 species